ACCCAGCAAAGAUCUUUGGACCAUCUAAUGUGACUGAAGGAGUAAAUGUCAAUUUUAAAUGUAGCAUUACUGGCAUCAGAGGACCUGAGGACAAGUUAAAUGUUUACCUUUGCAAGAAUGGAGUUGGGAUAAGAAUUGCGAAGCUGGAGAAAGGAGAAAAUGAUGCUAUUUUCACCAUGAAGAAUGUUACAAGAGAAGACUCAGGCAACUACAGCUGUGUUUACACCAGAGAUAAACCUGUACCCAGUCACUUGAAGUCAACAGGGGAGAAUUUAAUAGUCUUUCAUGUCGAUGGAGAAUGGAAAGAGAUCUACCCAGCAAAGAUCUUUGGACCGUCUAAUGUGACUGAAGGAGUAAAUGUCCAUUUUAUAUGUAGUACUACUGGCAUCAGACGGCCUGAGGACAAGUUAAAUGUUUACCUUUGCAAGAAUGGAGUUGGGAUAAGAAUUGCGAAGCUGGAGAAAGGAUAAAAUGAUGCUAUUUUCACCAUGAAGAAUGUUACAAGAGAAGACUCAGGCAACUACAGCUGUGUUUACACCAGAGAUAAACCUGUACCCAGUCACUUGAAGUCAACAGGGGAGAAUUUAAUAGUCUUUCAUGUCGAUGGAGAAUGGAAAGAGGGACUAAAGAAUGUGGGAGGACAAGGCAGAGCAGGACUGGCAGCAGCCUUGGUCCUCCUGUUCAUGACUCUGUCGUUACUGCUGUUACUGUGGAGGUGCUGGGGGAUCCUGAAACCAAGUAAGUGAAGUGAACCUUUUCUGUUUGGUUUAGGCCAGUAAUCAAUUCUUAACACAGUGCGCUGGACAGCUGAAAAUUCACUUUUAAAAGGCAUUUUCACUGCCGUUUGCGGAGAUCGCAUUCACAAAAUGCUGCAGAUGACGGCCCAAUCGGAAAUUCCCUUUACAUGUCAAACAAUUCAUGUGGAAUUUGGAAUUUUGAUAAACUAAUCUGUUAACAGUCAAGUUUAGCAAGAUAUUUGUUAAUAUAUUGUAACUGUAGAUUUGUACACUCGCAGUUCAUAUUCACGAAACGUUGCAAAUGACAGCUCAAUCGGAAAGCCCCUUUAAAUGUCAAGCUGUAACAAAAAUCCAACGCGGAUAUGAUUGAAUCCCAGCCUUACAAUCACCAUAUGUGACAUGGU